AUUGAACGCUGGCGGCAGGCCUAACACAUGCAAGUCGAGCGGUAGAGAGGUGCUUGCACCUCUUGAGAGCGGCGGACGGGUGAGUAAUGCCUAGGAAUCUGCCUGGUAGUGGGGGAUAACGCUCGGAAACGGACGCUAAUACCGCAUACGUCCUACGGGAGAAAGCAGGGGACCUUCGGGCCUUGCGCUAUCAGAUGAGCCUAGGUCGGAUUAGCUAGUUGGUGAGGUAAUGGCUCACCAAGGCGACGAUCCGUAACUGGUCUGAGAGGAUGAUCAGUCACAGUGGAACUGAGACACGGGCCAGACUCAUACGGGAGUCAGCAGUGGGGAAUAUUGGACAAUGGACGAAAGCCUGAUCCAGCCAUGCCGCGUGUGUGAAGAAGGUCUUCGGAUUGUAAAGCACUUUAAGUUGGGAGGAAGGGUCGUUACCUAAUACGUGACGAUUUUGACGUUACCGACAGAAUAAGCACCGGCUAACUCUGUGCCAGCCGCCGCCGUAAGAC
rnacentral:rRNA from 1 species